rnacentral:rRNA from 1 species
UUUAUUGGAGAGUUUGAUCCUGGCUCAGGACGAACGCUGGCGGCGUGCCUAAUACAUGCAAGUCGAGCGAGUCUCUUCGGAGGCUAGCGGCGGACGGGUGAGUAACACGUAGGCAACCUGCCUCUCAGACUGGGAUAACAUAGGGAAACUUAUGCUAAUACCGGAUAGGUUUUUGGAUCGCAUGAUCUGAAAAGAAAAGAUGGCUUUUGGCUAUCACUGGGAGAUGGGCCUGCGGCGCAUUAGCUAGUUGGUGGGGUAACGGCCUACCAAGGCGACGAUGCGUAGCCGACCUGAGAGGGUGACCGGCCACACUGGGACUGAGACACGGCCCAGACUCCUACGGGAGGCAGCAGUAGGGAAUUUUCCACAAUGGACGAAAGUCUGAUGGAGCAACGCCGCGUGAACGAUGAAGGUCUUCGGAGUGUAAAGUGCUGUUGUCAGGGACGAACACGUACCGUUCGAACAGGGCGGUACCUUGACGGUACCU